UUUCCGUAGGUGAACCUGCGGAAGGAUCAUUAAAGUUAUAGUCCCCCGGCCCUCUGGGCUGGGGUCUUCUAUACCACCCUUUGUUUAUUACACCUUUGUUGCUUUGGCAGGCCUGCCCUCGGGCUGCUGGCUCCGGCCGGCUCGCGUCUGCCAGAGGACCUAAACUCUGUUUGUAUAUGAAGUCUGAGUACUAUAUAAUAGUCAAAACUUUCAACAACGGAUCUCUUGGUUCUG
rnacentral:misc_RNA from 1 species